rnacentral:rRNA from 1 species
AGGGAAGACUGCCCUAUGGGUUGUAAACCUCUUUUGUGCGGGGAUAAAGUGAGGGACGUGUCCCUUAUUGCAGGUACCGCACGAAUAAGGACCGGCUAAUUCCGUGCCAGCAGCCGCGGUAAUACGGAAGGUCCGGGCGUUAUCCGGAUUUAUUGGGUUUAAAGGGAGCGCAGGCCGUCCUUUAAGCGUGCUGUGAAAUGCCGCGGCUCAACCGUGGCACUGCAGCGCGAACUGGAGGACUUGAGUACGCACGAGGUAGGCGGAAUUCGUGGUGUAGCGGUGAAAUGCUUAGAUAUCACGAAGAACUCCGAUUGCGAAGGCAGCUUACCGGAGCGCAACUGACGCUGAGGCUCGAAAGCGCGGGUAUCGAACAGGAUUAGAUACCCUGGUAGUCCGCGCGGUAAACGAUGGAUGCCCGCCGUUGGGAUAUUGAUUUCAGCGGCCAAGCGAAAGCGUUAAGCAUCCCACCUGGGGAGUACGCCGGCAACGGUGAAACUCAAAGGAAUUGACGGGGGCCCGCACAAGCGGAGGAACAUGUGGUUUAAUUCGAUGAUACGCGAGGAACCUUACCCGGGCUUGAAUUGCAGGAGAACGAUCCAGAGAUGGUGAGGCCCUUCGGGGCUCCUGUGAAGGUGCUGCAUGGUUGUCGUCAGCUCGUGCCGUGAGGUGUCGGCUCAAGUGCCAUAACGAGCGCAACCCCUGUCCAUAGUUGCCAUCAGGUCGUGCUGGGCACUCUGUGGAGACUGCCGCCGUAAGGUGUGAGGAAGGUGGGGAUGACGUCAAAUCAGCAC